rnacentral:rRNA from 1 species
GUGUCAGCAGCCGCGGUAAUACGGGGGGGGCAAGCGUUGUUCGGAAUUACUGGGCGUAAAGGGCUCGUAGGUGGCCAACUAAGUCAGACGUGAAAUCCCUCGGCUUAACCGGGGAACUGCGUCUGAUACUGGAUGGCUUGAGUUCGGGAGAGGGAUGCGGAAUUCCAGGUGUAGCGGUGAAAUGCGUAGAUAUCUGGAGGAACACCGGUGGCGAAGGCGGCAUCCUGGACCGACACUGACACUGAGGAGCGAAAGCCAGGGGAGCAAACGGGAUUAGAUACCCUCGUAGUCC